rnacentral:rRNA from 1 species
GACGAACGCUGGCGGCGUGCUUAACACAUGCAAGUCGAACGGAAAGGCCCUGCUUGCAGGGUACUCGAGUGGCGAACAGGUGAGUAACACGUGGGUGAUCUGCCCUGCACUUCGGGAUAGGCCUGGGAAACUGGGUCUAAUACCGGAUAGGAGCCAUUUUUAGUGUGAUGGUUGGAAAGUUUUUUCGGUGUAGGAUGAGCUCGCGGCCUAUCAGCUUGUUGGUGGGGUAAUGGCCUACCAAGGCGGCGACGGGUAGCCGGCCUGAGAGGGUGGACGGCCACAUUGGGACUGAGAUACGGCCCAGACUCCUACGGGAGGCAGCAGUGGGGAAUAUUGCACAAUGGGCGCAAGCCUGAUGCAGCGACGCCGCGUGGGGGAUGACGGCCUUCGGGUUGUAAACUCCUUUCGCUAGGGACGAAGCUUUUUGUGACGGUACCUAGAUAAGAAGCACCGGCUAACUACGUG